rnacentral:tRNA from 1 species
GAUUUUGUCGUAUUAAACGUCUAUGGAGGACGGCGGGAUUGUAGACCCCGUGUUGCGAAAGCAGCUCCCUAG